GGAGCAGUCGCAGCUGUGUGUUGGGAUCAAACUGGCUUCUAUUUAGGGUCAUCGGCGGUGGUUUUUUGGGGAAUCAACGACCCUCUAAUCUUGGAGACUUACACAUGCCGAGAAGCCUUGGCAUUAGCAGAUGACCUCGCGACCCAGAAAAUUUGUGUGGCUUCGGAUUGCCAGGAGGCGAUCAAUGAUAUCAAUAGAGGGACAGGAGGUCCUAAUGCUUCAAUAGUACAUGAAAUAACAACCCACGGUACUAGUUUUAUUUCCAGUUCUUUCAUACAUGAGCGUAGGAACUUUAAUAUUGAGGCUCAUAAUCUCGCCAAGUUUGCAUGUAAUCUUGCAGUAGGUAGACAUGUUUGA
rnacentral:rRNA from 1 species